CAGGUGAGAGCGGCCAGGUGAGAGCGGCCAGGUGAGGAUUCCAGGUGAGGAUUCCAGGUGAGGAUUCCAGGUGAGGAUUCCAGGUGAAGAUUCCAGGUGAAGAUUCCAGGUGAGAGGGGCCAGGUGAGGAUCAGGUGAGGAUUCCAGGUGAGAGUUCCAGGUGAGAGCGGCCAGGUGAG